CGGCAAAGCUCAAAUUUGAAAUCUAGUGCCUUCGGUACUCGAGUUGUAAUUUGAAGAAUUUAUCUCCUGUCCAAACCUUUAUCUAUGUUCCUUGGAACAGGACGUCAUAGAGGGUGAGAAUCCCGUGUGAUUUUGGAUUUGGACUUUUGUGAGAUUUAUUCGAAGAGUCGAGUUGUUUGGGAAUGCAGCUCUAAGUGGGUGGUAAGUUCCAUCUAAAGCUAAAUAUUGGCAAGAGACCGAUAGCGAACAAGUACAGUGAUGGAAAGAUGAAAAGAACUCUGAAGAGAGGGUGAAAAAGUACGUGAAAUUGCUGAAAGGGAAGGGCUUUAGGUCAGACUUGGUGUUUAAUACUCAGUUCUCCUUGUGGGAGCUGCUCUUGUUUUUCACUGGGCCAAUAUCAGUUUUGGCGAUAGAGCACCUCUGGAAAUGUGGCUAUCUUCGGAUAGUGUUAUAGUCUGGAGACGAUCUAUUGCUGGGACUGAGGUCUGCGCUUUUGCUAGGAUAUUGGCAUAAUGACCUUAAGCCGCCCGUCUUG
rnacentral:rRNA from 1 species